rnacentral:rRNA from 1 species
GACGAACGCUGGCGGCGUGCUUAACACAUGCAAGUCGAACGGUAAGGCCCUUCGGGGUACACGAGUGGCGAACGGGUGAGUAACACGUGGGUGAUCUGCCCUGCACUUCGGGAUAAGCCUGGGAAACUGGGUCUAAUACCGGAUAGGACCACUGCCUGCAUGGGUGGUGGUGGAAAGCCUUUGCGGUGUGGGAUGGGCCCGCGGCCUAUCAGCUUGUUGGUGGGGUGAUGGCCUACCAAGGCGACGACGGGUAGCCGGCCUGAGAGGGUGACCGGCCACACUGGGACUGAGAUACGGCCCAGACUCCUGCGGGAGGCAGCAGUGGGGAAUAUUGCACAAUGGGCGCAAGCCUGAUGCAGCGACGCCGCGUGAGGGAUGACGGCCUUCGGGUUGUAAACCUCUUUCAGCUAUGACGAAGCGCAAGUGACGGUAGUAGCAGAAGAAGGACCGGCCAACUACGUGCCAGCAGCCGCCGCCG